GAUGAACGCUGGCGGCGUGCCUAAUACAUGCAAGUCGAGCGAACAGACGAGGAGCUUGCUCCUCUGACGUUAGCGGCUGACGGGUGAGUAACACGUGGAUAACCUACCUAUAAGACUUGGAUAACUUCGUGAAACCGGAGCUAAUACCGGAUAAUAUAUUGAACCGCAUGGUUCAAUAGUGAAAGACGGUUUUGCUGUCACUUAUAGAUGGAUCCGCGCCGCAUUAGCUAGUUGGUAAGGUAACGGCUUACCAAGGCAACGAUGCGUAGCCGACCUGAGAGGGUGAUCGGCCACACUGGAACUGAGACACGGUCCAGACUCCUACGGGAGGCAGCAGUAGGGAAUCUUCCGCAAUGGGCGAAAGCCUGACGGAGCAACGCCGCGUGAGUGAUGAAGGUCUUCGGAUCGUAAAACUCUGUUAUUAGGGAAGAACAAAUGUGUAAGUAACUAUGCACGUCUUGACGGUACCUAAUCAGAAAGCCACGGCUAACUACGUG
rnacentral:rRNA from 1 species